rnacentral:lncRNA from 1 species
UAAGAAAUGUGAUAUGUACAGCUUUGGAGUGGUUGAUCGGUAAACAUACGGGAGAACUUAUUUCAUUAUUAAGAUUUGCAUCCAAAAACAUUAUAAUGAAAGAUUUAUUAGACGAGACUAAUUGCAACCAUUAAUCAGCAAUCUUCUCAAAGUUUAGCUCUUAUAGAAACACUAGCCUUUGCAUGUCCUCGUUCUCAUCCAAGGUGUAGACCAACGUCCAACAAUGCACACAAUGUGUG